UACGGGGGGGGCAAGCGUUGUUCGGAAUUACUGGGCGUAAAGGGCUUGUAGGCGGCCAACUAAGUCAAACGUGAAAUCCCUCGGCUUAACCGGGGAACUGCGCUUGAUACUGGAUGGCUUGAGAUUGGGAGAGGGAUGCGGAAUUCCAGGUGUAGCGGUGAAAUGCGUAGAUAUCUGGAGGAACACCGGUGGCGAAAGCGGCUCCUGGUCCAGCACCGACGUCAGGCACGAAAGCGUGGGGAGCAAACAGG
rnacentral:rRNA from 1 species